rnacentral:rRNA from 1 species
AUGAACGUUUGCGGUGUGCCUUAUGCAUGCAAGUCGAACGGUUCAACAAGCCGAAAGGUUUGUAGGAUAGUGGCGAACGGCUGAGUAAUACGUAAGUAACCUACCUUCAAGUGGGGAAUAACCCAUCGAAAGGUGGGCUAAUACUGCAUAUGGUAACUAAGCUGAGGCUUAGUUAUUAAAGCCUUAGGGCACUUGAAGAGGGGCUUACGUCCGAUUAGUUAGUUGGUGGGGUAAUGGCUCACCAAGGCGAUGAUCGGUAGCUG